CUUAUGCAAAGUAUGAGCAUGAACAAAAUGAUUUCAUGGAGUUAGACUCUGUUAGGCAACAGGAAGCACUUCUAGUGGCCAACUGGAAGACAGACACUAGAGGUGCACUUAACCCUGCAAUGUAAGCAUUGCAGUUUCUCCGAAACUGCAAUGUUUUACAUUGUAGGAUUAAAGCGGCACUGUCGUGCCGAACUUACCUUUCCCCAAUCUCUUCCUCUUCUCCCUCUCUCUCGGGAUCUGUUCUUAUUUUCUUCCUGUCUUCUUUAGUUUUCUUUAAAAUCAUAAGACAAAGUAGGGACUCUUUGCCUUAUGGAGGAUUCCUCCGCUUGACCAGCUCUGACCAGCGGAGGAGUAAAGUGUGCUUAAUUUCCGCUGGUCAGAGCAAUUUUCCAUGAUCCUUACCUUUCCUCUGUGUUCCCAUGAUGCUUCCUGUCAUUUUAGACGAAACUGAC